rnacentral:lncRNA from 1 species
AUGACAACAUUAAAUUCGGAUGAAAAUAGAAAUACUGUUCCGACAGGAGGUUUACUUAAUAGUGGUCAUGGUGGUGGGACAAGACACGAUCGUAGUUUGACUGUUAUUGGAGAUGAUGAUCAAUCAAUUUAUGCCUUUCGUGGAGCAAAUAUUAAUAUAUUUUAUAAAUUACUAAAAGAAUGCAAAUGUUUAUUAUUUAAACUUAGUACAAAUUUUAGAAGUACAAAAGAGAUUGUUAGAGUAUCGAAAAAUUUAAUUUUGCAUAACUCGUCUUAUCGAAUAAAUAAAAAUUUAUAUACUAACAAUAUAGAAGGUAAUAAAAUAAAAUUUCAUGUUUUUAAAACAUAUUCUGAUCAAAUAGCAUAUAUAUUAGCACAAAUAAUUUAUUUAAAAAAAGUAUAUAAUUAUAAAUAUGGUGAUUUUGUUAUUUUAUCAAGGACAAAUAAAACAUUAAACGAAACUAUAAAAUGUAUAAAUAAUUAUGAAACAAAAAAAAAGGCGUUGAAAUAUUAUUUAUCUAUGAGUAAUGUGGAACAAUCAACAGGCUCUAAACCCGAACAUAAACCUGAACAUAAAAAUGAACACAAAUAUGAACUGUGUAAUAAGUCCAACGACAGUUUAUCUACCACCGCUGUAGAACAAACUGAUUUAAAAACAAGUAUAUCCAUUGAUACUUUUCAAAUUGCAAUAAAAGGAUUAAACAAAAAAAAAUCUUUUUUUGGUUCCAAAGAAAUAAUAGAAUUAAUCACUUUAUUAAGGUUUUUACUUAAUGUAAACGAUGAUAUUAUUUUAAAAAAAAGUUUCCAAAUUGUGAAAAAUGAUAAAAAUAUAAAAAUUAUUAUAAAAAAAUUAAUAAUGUUACAAGAACAAAAAAUGAAAAUAAUACAUGGAGAAGAUAUUAAAUAUGUAGAUAGAAGUACUAAAAAUUUUAUAAAAGAAAAAGAACAAUCUGUAAAUAGUAAUACGGAUCCAUUAAUAAAUAAUCAGGAUGUAGUUUUUUCUGAUACUGUUCCUUUAUUCGAUCAAAUAAAACAUCUAACACAUUUAUAUAUUUUGUCAAAACAAAAAAAAAUAGACAACGAACAAUUACAACUACUCAAUAUUUUUAAUGAAAACGAAUUAAAAAGUCUUGUUGAUUUCUUUUUUUGUAUUAACUAUUUUUUAAAAAUACUUUCAGAUAAUAAUAAUGUUUAUAAUUUAAUUAUCGAAAUUUUAAAAAAAACAAAUAUUAUCAAAAGAAUAAUUGAUCGAGUUGAAAGAAAAAAAAAAAAAGAAAUGCAAAGUAGUUUGUUUACUGAUGAAGAAGACAUGCGAAAUUACAAAAAAAAAGUAACAGAAAAUAGGGGUAAUACUAAUAUACUGAAUGGGGUCACAACUGUAGGUAUUACCCCUAACAGUACUACCCCUAACAGUACUACCAUUAACAGUAGCACUACCACUAACAGUACUACCCCUAACAGUAGCACUACCACUAACAGUACUACCAUUAACCGUAGCACUACCAUUAACCGUAGCACUACCACUAACAGUACUACCACUAACAGUACUACCACUAACAGUACUACCCCUAACAGUAGCACUACCACUAACAGUAGCACUACCACUAACAGUAGCACUACCACUAACAGUAGCACUACCCCUAACAGUAGCAACGAAAAUAAUAAAACUGAUGUAGAUGAAAAAAACACAUUUAACGAAGUUAAAAUCAAAAACGAUUUAAGUAAAUUGUUCAACCUAAAUGAUACAUAUAUGAAUUAUAAUAAUAUACAAAAUAUUUUUGUUUUUUUAGAAAUAGCGAAAGAAUAUAAACCUAAUUUAAUACAACAAACCUGCUCAAGUUGUUUAAUCAGUUUUUUAAAUGAAUUUAAAAAUAAUGUACAUGAGAAUAUGUUGAUUGAAAAAGUAACCAUAUCGACUAUACACAAAUCGAAGGGACUUGAAUGGAAAGUUGUUUUUAUUGUAAAUGUAAUCGAAAAAGAAAUACCUCAAGCUGUUGAACAUAAUCAAGAAAUUAUAGAAGAAAGAAAAAUUUUUUAUGUUGGUAUUACACGAGCAAAGUAUUUCUUAUAUUUGUUAUGUUACUUACAUAAUGCUCAUACUUCUGAAAAAAAUACUGUUUCUAGGUUUAUUCACCAGAUGGGAAUAUAAGCCACAAACCAUAAUCCGUAAGCAGUCGUAAAAAUGUAGUAGUUUAUGCCACGUAAAUAAUCUUAAUGAAAGACUUCCGUUAAAAAAAAAAAAAAAAAAAAAAAAAAAAAAAAAGCGUUUAUAUAUUUUUACACAUGUACCUUUGCGUUGCUUUUGCAUUAUAACAAUUAUAUUUUAUAUAAAGCGUUUAUAUAUUUUUACACAUGUGCCUUUGCGUUGCUUUUGCAUUAUAACAAUUAUAUUUUAUAUGGAAUUUUACAAAAAUAUGUACAUUUAUUUUUUUUUUUUUUUUCCGAUAAGAUUAUAUUCACAUAUUUAAGCGUGCGUGCAUAUCUAAACACAUAGUGUAUAUAUAUAUAUAUAUUGACAUUUUUUUUUUUUUUUUUUUUUUUUUUUUUUUUUUUUUUUUNNNNNNNNNNNNNNNNNNNNNNNNNNNNNNNNNNNNNNNNNNNNNNNNNNNNNNNNNNNNNNNNNNNNNNNNNNNNNNNNNNNNNNNNNNNNNNNNNNNNUUUUUUUUUUUUUUUUUUUUUUUUUUUUUUUUUUUUUUUUUGUAUCCAUAUCCGUAUUUGCAUGUUAUUUGCAUGUUAUUUGCAUGUUAUUUGCAUGUUAUUUGCAUGUUAUUUGCAUGUUAUUUGCAUGUUAUUUGCAUGUUAUUUGUAUGUUAUUUAUUUUAUUUUUUUUUUUUUUGAAAACUUUUAUUUAUUAUGUUUUUUUAAGAAUGGAAAAAAAUUCAAACUAUUUGUAUUUGUAAAGUUAAUUUUUGAGUCAUUUUUUUUUUUUUUUUUUUUUACGUAUAUACACAUAUAUUAUAUAUAUGUGUGAACGGCUUUGUGCAAAUGUAGCUAAUUACGUUUUAAAAAGGAUCCAAUAAAAAAAAAAAAAAAAAGUUAUCCUACCCA